AGUCCUCUUUGAUAUUGGCCUGGUUCACUCAGAUCUUCUCGAACCACACGCUCACAACUCUCUUAGUUAUCUGAUUGAGCCGCGUCAAUAUCUCAGUGCUCUCU
rfam:Brassica napus, WGS project CCCW01000000 data, contig: 1147